GCACUCUCAAAAUCCCAACUGAGCAAUUCAGUGCCAAUAUCUGGGCCGCAAAUGAAGUGAUCCACUCAUAAGCUGCUCUGAGCUUAAUUCAAUAAAAAUUCUCCUAAGCUUGGUAGUUAAAAAUUAAUGAGCCAAACUCAAACUCACUUUUAAGAAUCAUCCAAUAAAUGGGCUAAACAUGAGCUACACCAGCUCAGCUCAUCAGGGUACCUG
rnacentral:misc_RNA from 1 species